rnacentral:misc_RNA from 1 species
GAUGAAGAACGCAGCGAAAUGCGAUAAGUAGUGUGAAUUGCAGAAUUCAGUGAAUCAUCGAAUCUUUGAACGCACAUUGCGCCCCUUGGUAUUCCAUGGGGCAUGCCUGUUCGAGCGUCAUUUGUACCUUCAAGCUCUGCUUGGUGUUGGGUGUUUGUCUCGCCUCUGCGCGCAGACUCGCCUCAAAACGAUUGGCAGCCGGCGUAUUGAUUUCGGAGCGCAGUACAUCUCGCGCUUUGACAACAAAACGACGACGUCCAAAAAGUACAUUUUUUACACUCUUGACCUCGGAUCAGGUAGGGAUACCCGCUGAACUUAAGCAUAUCAAUAAGCGGAGGA